rnacentral:snoRNA from 1 species
GUUGGGAUGAUGACUUCAGUCGUCGGAUACCCCUUCACUCCUUUUCAUGAGUGAAACAGAACAGUCUGACAAAC